UACGUAGGGGGCAAGCGUUGUCCGGAUUUAUUGGGCGUAAAGCGCUCGCAGGUGGUUCAUUGCGUCGUGCGUGAAAGACCCCGGCUCAACUGGGGAGGGUCGUGCGAAACGGGUGAACUAGAGGCCAGUAGGGGGAUGUGGAAUUCCGGGUGUAGUGGUGGAAUGCGUAGAGAUCCGGAGGAACACCAGCGGCGAAGGCGGCAUCCUGGACUGGUCCUGACACUCAGGAGCGAAAGCGUGGGGAGCGAUCCGGAUUAGAUACCCUUGUAGU
rnacentral:rRNA from 1 species